rnacentral:lncRNA from 1 species
CAUAUAUGAAGUGUUGGGAAUCCGGUACUCGUCCUGAUACCGAAUUUUGAAAAUUCGCAAUUCAUUCCGAUAGUGACUACUGUAGAUCCGGUACCGAUUGUUGGAAUUUCGCAACGAAAGCGUCGAAUCGGAUUUUUACCAUAAACUCGUCUCCGAUUGUUGGAAUUCCGCAAUGAAAGCGUCGAAUCGAAUUUUUACCAUAAAUUCGUCUUCUCAGCAAAAGCUAAUAUAAUCACAAAAGAGAGAAAAAAACAACCAAACAGAGAGAAAAAAACAAAACUAAACAGAAAAAAUAUGUGAGUAAAAUAAGAUUCAUUAAAUAAGAAAAAAUUACACCUAACUCAUUUUCUGCAGCUACAACCCAAUUUCUUUUUCUGAAUCUUUUCUACCAUUCUCUCGUCUUCUAUAAACCCAAUUCUGAAUCUUUUCUACACUUCUCUCGUCUUCUAUAAACCCAUAAAGAAGACAACCCUUCAUUUUUUCUCUCUCACAUGCACUUACCCUUCUCUCGUUUUCUAUAAACCCAUAAAAAAAAUAACCCUUCAUUUUUUCUCUCUCACAUGCAUCUGUGCACUAAGUGCAUGCAACUCAUGGCCAAACUUAUCUUUGGUACGAUCCACCAAUGACUUCAAGACACUUUACUGCACCCUCCUCAAGAAUCUCAACUUGGCCCUACUACCCCUAAAGCUCUUCACGAGUGGAGCUAUUUAUAAAGCUUACAUCAAAACAUAUCCCAAUCCUAAUAUAUUUAGAAUUUCUACUCUAAUAAAUAUUUAAAUCUUAAUUAAUUUAUCUCUAAUAGAUUUAAAUAUUUAUCCUAGUCUAAUUGGACUAAUUUAUACUCUAAUUAAUAUCUAAAUCUUAAUUUAUCUCCAAUAUAUUUAAAUAUUAAUUCUAAUCUAAUUAGAGUUAAUCUACAAAUCUAUCCAAAUUCUAACAUGAAGAUCUAACAACGAAUCUCUUUCAUAUGUAGAAUUGAAUUCGAUAGAAUAAUAUCAGAAAAUAAUAUAGGUAAAACAGAAAGGAAGGCAGAUCGUAGUUAAGAUCGAGAUCAGUUUAUCAAAUUCCGUC